CUCUCCUGCAGCACCUGGGCCGGGCCCUGCCCAGCAGGUCCAGAACAUCCAGUGCUCUCCAACACCCACAGGCAGGAAAUUCUACUGCAUGGCAUCCUUCACAUCCACAGUUAUCCAACAGCAGCACCACGUCUCCUGAAAUCCCCUCCCUAUUUUUCCUCAAGAAGCUGCACGGCUCAAAGGUGUUGGGCAAGGAUGGAGCAGUGUCCAGGCACUCCAAGCCCAAGGUCUUCCCAGGUCCCAGCAGAGACUGGGACAGCCUGGGGCCUGCUCUGAGCCAGGUCAGGCAGCAACAGCUCC